rnacentral:rRNA from 1 species
UACGGAGGAUGCGAGCGUUAUCCGGAUUUAUUGGGUUUAAAGGGUGCGUAGGCGGAUUGAUAAGUUAGAGGUGAAAUGUCCGAGCUCAACUCGGGAACUGCCUCUAAUACUGUUGAUCUAGAGAGUAGAUGCGGUAGGCGGAAUGUAUGGUGUAGCGGUGAAAUGCUUAGAGAUCAUACAGAACCCCGAUUGCGAAGGCAGCGUGCCGUGCCGCCACUGACGCUGAGGCACGAAAGCGCGGGGAUCGAACAGG